GAUACCAGGGUCAAAAGGUCUAAAACCACAUGAGCUUGCUAACAGGUGGUUGAAAGACCUUGAGACCCGCCCCAAUAUGAGCAUAAAAGUGGGAUAAUAAUCCCACGAUAUGCGAAUAUGGGGUAGGAGUGUGGGAGUGCAUAGCACAGAACAAUUCGUCGGUAUC
rnacentral:sRNA from 1 species